GAAUCAACGCUGGCGGCGUGCCUCAGACAUGCAAGUCGAACGAUUAAAGCUCUCUUCGGAGAGUGCAUAGAGUGGCGCACGGGUGAGUAACACGUAAGUAAUCUACCUUCGAGUGGGGAAUAACGUCCGGAAACGGGCGCUAAUACCGCAUAAUGCAGCGGCAUCGCAAGAUGACAGUUGUUAAAGGAGCAAUCCGCUUGAAGAGGAGCUUGCGGCAGAUUAGCUAGUUGGUAGGGUAAUGGCCUACCAAGGCUACGAUCUGUAACCGGUCUUAGAGGACGGUCGGUCACACUGACACUGAAUAACGGGUCAGACUCCUACGGGAGGCAGCAGUCGGGAAUUUUGGGCAAUGGGGGAAACCCUGACCCAGCAACGCCGCGUGAAGGAUGAAGUAUUUCGGUAUGUAAACUUCGAAAGAAUAGGAAGAAUUAAUGACGGUACUAUUUAUAAGGUCCGGCUAACUACGUG
rnacentral:rRNA from 1 species